UUCACUAAAUCCCAAUUUUACUUUACUUGUUUUACUGUUUUUUGGAUACAGAUGUUUAGACCAAUUUCAGUAUUACAAAUGCAAAGUACACAGAUCAGUCCCUCAUGGGCUUCGCCAGCACUGAAAUAACUAUACUGAAUUUGCUCUUUAUGGCAAAGAAAAUAUACUGGCGCGCUUAAUUGAUUGGUCCUUGGUCGAAAUACGGUUGUUUUAAAUUAUGUUACUAAACCGUGCAAAUCCACUUCGAUCGAUUAUAUAAUUCUUUCUUGUAGUUCAAUAAACUGACAUAUAUGAAUCUAAUUCAAACCCCGGACAGACGGAUGACACCGAUUUUCGGAACUAAUUAUGAGGUCGCUGUGUAUUAUACAAUUCACUGACGUAUAUCCAAAACGACUGCUUUUCCAUAAACUAUUUAUGUACAAUUCCACCAGUCAUACAAUCUAUUAGGAAAUUCGCCCCUCUAAUUUUUGACCCUGUAGACUUUCUAUGAUAUGUUUGACCCUUACAUAAAUCCCAAAAAUCCUAAAUCUCUAUAAAAUUCUACAGAAAUUUACAGCUACCGUUACAAGGAUGAAGAAUGAUCUAAAAAUAAACGAAAAUAUUUGUGGGUUGAACAAAUUCCAGAAGGUGCCAAACUCCAAAGAGCCUUACGAAAAGUAACAGAAGAACAUUGAACGGUUAUACAGAGACCGCAAAGGAAACAAUGGGGCUUUUGUUUCAAUCACACAUUCCGGGAUCAAAGACCUCGCUCAAAAUGACGCGGGCGAAUCAAUUAUUCUGGAACCACUUCUCAGGUGGACCAGAGGAGAUUGGGUUUUGGCUCGAGAUAGUGAACCUAACGAGGCAGUGAAGUCUUUCCGUCCGUAUAAAUCCCAAGGGAUGGAUGGGUCCUGCUCUACAAGGCCUCGACCCGCUAGCCUUCACGCUAUGUAUGUUACUAAGGGCAAGUUUUGUCCUGGAAUACACACCUAUGGUGCGAAGGGACGUAAAAGUCGUAUUCAUAUCGAUACCUGGGCUAGAAUCAUACACCCAAGCCAAAAUGUUUAGACCCAUCAGUCUAACGUCUUUCUCCUAAAAUUAGUGAAGAAACUUAUUGAACAUGAGGGAUGAGAUAUGGAGAGGGCGUUUGACAAUAUCACUCUGGAAGGUGUGGUAAAAUAAGACCUUUAUCCAGAAGAACAUACAGAUACUUAGCAAGGUGCACCGCAGAGAUUGCCUUGAAAUUACGUGGGAAAUAAUAGCGACCCUUACGGAAGGUAUAGAGACCCUCUUGAACUUACCGCGAGUACACCUAGUAAUUAGGGCAGUGGCACUCAGAGGGGCAUACUGUAACGGGAUUUCCCUGUACAGAAAUGUGAUAAAUUGUCAUGGAAAGGAAUUUAUUUCAUUUACUUUGACCUGAUUUGGUAUAAUAUUUAAUCGCGAGAAAGCUAAAAGGGAAUUAGCAAUGUAAACUCAAAAUCGCUUUAAGUAUGUGUAUUCAGGAGAAGGUAAUUAAAUGAGUCAUU